rfam:Zea mays cultivar B73 chromosome 7, whole genome shotgun sequence.
AAUAUUUCUCGGCCUUUUAGCUAAGGUGUUAUAUUUGUGCUUAUUAGUUUAAUAUCUGAUAUGUGAACUAUAUGUUCACUCUGAUAUUAAAUUUAUUUUUUAUGGAUAUUAAAUAUGUUUGUGUGCCCGUGCGUUGUACUAUUCUAUAACACUGAGGAUGUUGUACUAUUCUAUAA